rnacentral:misc_RNA from 1 species
AUAUCUCAACCACGCACGAAAGCGUGUGGCUUGGACUUGGGGGAUGAUGCAGGCUCGGACUCAGUCGGUCAGUCUGCUCCCCUGAAAUACAUGAGCGAAAUAAAAGGCCUCUUUGUUGGGUGUGAUAACUCUAUCUGCAUCCGAGGGUCGUUUACGUUUGCCAGAUUGGAUUGGAUUGGAUUUCAUUUG